UACGUAGGGGGCAAGCGUUGUCCGGAUUUAUUGGGCGUAAAGAGCUCGUAGGCGGCUCGAAAAGUCGGCGGUGAAAACUCGGGACUCAACUCCGAGGCGCCCGUCGAUACUGUCGAGCUUGAGUCCGGUAGGGGAGUGUGGAAUUCCUGGUGUAGCGGUGAAAUGCGCAGAUAUCAGGAGGAACACCGAUGGCGAAGGCAGCACUCUGGGCCGGCACUGACGCCGAGGAGCGAAAGCGUGGGGAGCGAACAGG
rnacentral:rRNA from 1 species